GGCAGACGGGUGAGUAAUGCAUAGGAAUCUACCUAGUAGUAUGGGAUAGCCACUAGAAAUGGUGGGUAAUACUGUAUAAUCCCUGCGGGGGAAAGAUUUAUCGCUAUUAGAUGAGCCUAUGUUAGAUUAGCUAGUUGGUAGGGUAAAGGCCUACCAAGGCGAUGAUCUAUAGCUGGUCUGAGAGGAUGAUCAGCCACACUGGGACUGAGAUACGGUCCAGACUCCUACGGGAGGCAGCAGUGGGGAAUAUUGGACAAUGGGCGCAAGCCUGAUCCAGCUAUGCCGCGUGAGUGAGGAAGGCCUUAGGGUUGUAAAACUCUUUCAGUAGGGAAGAUAAUGACGGUACCUACAGAAGAAGUCCCGGCAAACUCCGUGCCAGCAGCCGCGGUAAUACGGAGGGGGCAAGCGUUGUUCGGAAUUAUUGGGCGUAAAGGGCAUGUAGGCGGUUCGGUAAGUUAAAGGUGA
rnacentral:rRNA from 1 species